AGUGAACGCUGGCGGUAGGCCUAACACAUGCAAGUCGAACGGCAGCACAGUAAGAGCUUGCUCUUACGGGUGGCGAGUGGCGGACGGGUGAGGAAUACAUCGGAAUCUACUUUUUCGUGGGGGAUAACGCAGGGAAACUUACGCUAAUACCGCAUACGACCUACGGGUGAAAGCAGGGGAUCUUCGGACCUUGCGCGAUUGAAUGAGCCGAUGUCGGAUUAGCUAGUUGGCGGGGUAAAGGCCCACCAAGGCGACGAUCCGUAGCUGGUCUGAGAGGAUGAUCAGCCACACUGGAACUGAGACACGGUCCAGACUCCUGCGGGAGGCAGCAGUGGGGAAUAUUGGACAAUGGGCGCAAGCCUGAUCCAGCCAUACCGCGUGGGUGAAGAAGGCCUUCGGGUUGUAAAGCCCUUUUGUUGGGAAAGAAAAGCAGCAGGUUAAUACCCCGCUGUUCUGACGGUACCCAAAGAAUAAGCACCGGCUAACUUCGUG
rnacentral:rRNA from 1 species